GGUCAUAACAUUCGUAGUGCAUUCAGAGCAUACGCGGCGUAUUUGAAGAAGAGGUUGAGGGUCGUGGAUCGACUGCAGGAGGAUCCCACAUACACCAAAUUCCGGUCUAACAUCACCAAGAGCACAUCACAACAUUUAGAACUAUGCCACUAUCUGGGGCAAUUGGCCUGCGGAAUUUUCAAAGUCAAGGUAACUCGAUUUACUAAUCAGUUACACCAAUAUUCCUUUUCCUCGCGACUAUUAUGGAGAAUUUUCGACCUUCUUCUUGUCGACGCCACUGGCGUGUACAACUCAUAUGGGCAUACGCUCGACAU